CGGCAAAAGCUCAGAUUUGAAAUCUGUCGUCAGUCUUUGACGUCCGAGUUGUAAUCUGUAGAGGGGUAUUCGAGUAUAGCUUUGGCUUAAGUUCCUUGGAACAGGGCGUCAGAGAGGGUGAGAACCCCGUAAUUGGCCCUUGUCUUAUGCUCAUGUGAAUCUCCUUCAGC
rnacentral:rRNA from 1 species